rnacentral:misc_RNA from 1 species
AAGUCGUAACAAGGUUUCCGUAGGUGAACCUGCGGAAGGAUCAUUAAAAAAAAAGAAUUAUUUCACACGUACUGAACAACAGAGCCUCGGCGGCUUGCCGCCAGGGACUUAAUUAAACAAACUUAAUUUGUCAAGAAACGAAAUAUCAAAACUUUCAACAACGGAUCUCUUGGUUCUC